rnacentral:tRNA from 1 species
GGACCUGUAGCUCAGCGGUCAGAGCAGGAGACUCAUAAUCUCUUGGUCGCAGGUUCAAAUCCUGCCGGGUCCACCA